CCAGUUCUUGUUCAAUCACUGAAGUUAAGCAUUGUCAAGCCUGAACAGUACUUGGGUGGGAGACCACUUGGGAACACAGUGU